rnacentral:rRNA from 1 species
UACGAAGGGGGCUAGCGUUGUUCGGAAUCACUGGGCGUAAAGCGCGCGUAGGUGGAUGUGCAAGUCAGAGGUGAAAUCCCGGGGCUUAACCCCGGAACUGCCUUUGAAACUGCACAUCUGGAGUGUCGGAGGGGAUAGUGGAAUUCCUAGUGUAGAGGUGAAAUUCGUAGAGACUAGGAGGAACACCAGUGGCGAAGGCGACUAUCUGGACGACAACUGACACUGAGGUGCGAAAGCGUGGGGAGCAAACAGG